AACGAACGCUGGCGGCAGGCUUAACACAUGCAAGUCGAGCGCCCCGCAAGGGGAGCGGCAGACGGGUGAGUAACGCGUGGGAAUCUACCCAUCUCUACGGAAUAACGCAUGGAAACGUGUGCUAAUACCGUAUACGUCCUUCGGGAGAAAGAUUUAUCGGAGAUGGAUGAGCCCGCGUUGGAUUAGCUAGUUGGUGGGGUAAAGGCCUACCAAGGCGACGAUCCAUAGCUGGUCUGAGAGGAUUAUCAGCCACACUGGGACUGAGACACGGCCCAGACUCCUCCAGGAGGCAUCAGUGGGCAAUAUUGGGCAUUGGCCGCCAGCCUGAUCCAGCCUUGCUGCGUGAGUGAUGCAGGCCCUAGGGUUGUAAAGCUCUUUCAGCGGUGAAGAUAAAGGCGGUAACCGGAGAAGAAGCCCCGGCUAAGUUCGUGCCAGCCGCCGCAGUAACAC
rnacentral:rRNA from 1 species